rnacentral:rRNA from 1 species
UUGACCUCGGAUCAGGUAGGGAUACCCGCUGAACUUAAGCAUAUCAAUAAGCGGAGGAAAAGAAACCAACAGGGAUUGCCUCAGUAACGGCGAGUGAAGCGGCAAAAGCUCAAAUUUGAAAUCUGGCUCCUUCGGGGCCCGAGUUGUAAUUUGCAGAGGAUGCUUCGGGCGUGGCCGCGGUCUAAGUCCCCUGGAACGGGGCGUCGCAGAGGGUGAGAAUCCCGUCUUCGGCCGGCCGGCUUCGCCCGUAUGAAGCUCCUUCGACGAGUCGAGUUGUUUGGGAAUGCAGCUCUAAAUGGGUGGUAAAUUUCAUCUAAAGCUAAAUAUUGGUCGGAGACCGAUAGCGCACAAGUAGAGUGAUCGAAAGAUGAAAAGCACUUUGAAAAGAGAGUUAAACAGCAUGUGAAAUUGUUGAAAGGGAAGCGCUUGCGACCAGAGUCGGCCGCGGGGGUUCAGCGGGCAUUCGUUGCCCGUGCACUCCCCCGCGGGCGGGCCAGCGUCGGUUUUGACGGCCGGUCAAAGGCCCCCGGAAUGUGUCGCCUCUCGGGGCGUCUUAUAGCCGGGGGUGCAAUGCGGCCAGUCGGGACCGAGGAACGCGCUUCGGCACGGACGCUGGCUUAAUGGUCGUAAGCGACC